AUACAUACCUGGCAGGGGAGAUACCAUGAUCACGAAGGAGGUGUUCCCUGGGGGUGGCUUGUCCAUUGCACUCCAGAUGUGCUGACCCCUGCGAUCUCCCCAAAUAUGGGAAACUCGACUGCACAAUUAGUGGUAGUGGGGGACUGUGUUCGCAUUCUCCCUUU